AAGUCGUAACAAGGUCUCCGUUGGUGAACCAGCGGAGGGAUCAUUACCGAGUCUCGUACUCCCAACCCUUUGUGAACAUACCUGUUUCGUUGCUUCGGCAGGCCCGGGGGUCAAACCCCGGCCCGCCGCCGGCCCCCGGAGACGGGGCGCCUGGCGGGCCUGCCGGAGGGCACAGACUCUGUAUUUCAAAACGUACCUCUCUGAGUUAUCUUUACAAAUAAGUAAAAACUUUCAACAACGGAUCUCUUGGUUCUG
rnacentral:misc_RNA from 1 species